rnacentral:snRNA from 1 species
AGCUUUGUGCAGCGGCAAUAUUAUAGCCAGCGAGGUUUAUCCGAGACGCGAUUAUUGCUAAUUGAAAACUUUUCCCAAUACCCCACUGUGACAACUUGAAAUAUAGUCGGCAUUGGCAAUUUUUGACAGUCUCUACGGAGG